rnacentral:rRNA from 1 species
CGGUAAAAGCUCAAAUUUGAAAUCUGGCUCUUUUAGAGUCCGAAUUGUAAUUUGUAGAAGAUGCUUCGGGUGUGGUUCCGGUCUAAGUUCCUUGGAACAGGACGUCAUAGAGGGUGAGAAUCCCGUAUGUG